rnacentral:rRNA from 1 species
GGCGAGUGAGCGGCACAGCUCAAUUUGAAUCUGGCUUCGGCCCGAGUUGUAAUUUGCAGAGGAAGCUUUAGGCGCGGCACCUCCUGAGUCCCCUGGAACGGGGCGCCACAGAGGGUGAGAGCCCCGUAUAGUUGGAUGCCUAGCCUGUGUAAAGCUCCUUCGACGAGUCGAGUAGUUUGGGAAUGCUGCUCAAAAUGGGAGGUAAAUUUCUUCUAAAGCUAAAUACCGGCCAGAGACCGAUAGCGCACAAGUAGAGUGAUCGAAAGAUGAAAAGCACUUUGAAAAGAGGGUUAAAUAGCACGUGAAAUUGUUGAAAGGGAAGCGCUUGUGACCAGACUUGCGCCGGGCUGAUCAUCCGGUGUUCUCACCGGUGCACUCUGCCCGGCUCAGGCCAGCAUCGGUUCUCGCGGGGGGAUAAAGGCCCUGGGAACGUAGCUCCUCCGGGAGUGUUAUAGCCCGGGGCGGAAUGCCCUCGCGGGGACCGAGGUUCGCGCUCUGCAAGGAUGCUGGCGUAAUGGUCAUCAGCGACCCGU